GACGUAGGUGGCGAACGUUAUCCGGAAUUAUUGGGCGUAAAGGGUGCGUAGAUGGCUUGAUAAGUUGGCAGUGGGAAAUCGAGGCUCAACCUCGUGGAAGCUGGUAAUACUGUCAGGCUUGAGUGCAGGAGAGGUUAACGGAACUCCAUGUGGAGCGGGUAAAAUGUGUAGAUAUAUGGAAGAACACCAAUAACGGCGAAGGCAGUUAACUAUUCUGCUACUGACAUUGAGGCACGAAAGCGUGGGGAGCAAAACGG
rnacentral:rRNA from 1 species